GGGGUUGUGGCUCAGUGGUAGAGCACUUGACUUGCACUCGUGAGGCACUGGGUUUGAUCCUUAAUACCA
rnacentral:tRNA from 1 species